rnacentral:rRNA from 1 species
UACGGGGGGGGCAAGCGUUGUUCGGAAUUACUGGGCGUAAAGGGCUCGUAGGCGGCCAACUAAGUCAUACGUGAAAUCCCUCGGCUUAACCGGGGAACUGCGUCUGAUACUGGAUGGCUUGAGUUCGGGAGAGGGAUGCGGAAUUCCAGGUGUAGCGGUGAAAUGCGUAGAUAUCUGGAGGAACACCGGUGGCGAAGGCGGCAUCCUGGACCGGCAUUGACGCUGAGGCGCGAAAGCCAGGGGAGCAAAGCGGG